rnacentral:rRNA from 1 species
AUUGAACGCUGGCGGCAUGCCUUACACAUGCAAGUCGAACGGCAGCACGGGAGCAAUCCUGGUGGCGAGUGGCGAACGGGUGAGUAAUAUAUCGGAACGUGCCCAGUAGUGGGGGAUAACUGCUCGAAAGAGCAGCUAAUACCGCAUACGACCUGAGGGUGAAAGGGGGGGAUCGCAAGACCUCUCGCUAUCGGAGCGGCCGAUAUCAGAUUAGCUAGUUGGUGGGGUAAAGGCCUACCAAGGCAACGAUCUGUAGUUGGUCUGAGAGGACGGCCAGCCACACUGGGACUGAGACACGGCCCAGACUCCUACGGGAGGCAGCAGUGGGGAAUUUUGGACAAUGGGCGCAAGCCUGAUCCAGCAAUGCCGCGUGCAGGAAGAAGGCCUUCGGGUUGUAAACUGCUUCUGUCAGGGAAGAAAUCCUCUAGGUUAAUACCCUUGGGGGGAUGACGGUACCUGAAGAAUAAGCACCGGCUAACUACGUGCCAGCCGCCGCAGUAACAC